UACCUCUGCCUCCCAAGAGUGCU
rnacentral:piRNA from 1 species